rnacentral:rRNA from 1 species
UACAGAGGCCUCGAGCGUUAGGCGGAAUCACUGGGCUUAAAGCGUGUGUAGGCGGACUUCUAAGUACCUUGUGAAAUCCCACGGCUCAACCGUGGAACUGCUCGGUAUACUGGUUGUCUUGAGCCAUCUAGGGGCGAGCGGAACAAGUGGUGGAGCGGUGAAAUGCGUAGAUAUCACUUGGAACGCCAACGGUGAAUACAGCUCGCUGGGGAUGUGCUGACGCUGAGACACGAAAGCCAGGGGAGCGAACGGG